ensembl:lncRNA
AUAUUUUAUAAUAGUGAUUUUAUAAUUAAAAAAAAAGAGAAUUUGUGCAGAAUUUGAAUGCUUCUCAGUAAAUCUGCAGCAACCUUAUCAUUGUGCAGCGAAUUCAAAUGCUUCUCAUUGGAUCUUGCAGCUCUGUUGCAUCUGUGUCGCGAAAUCAACUCUACAAGUUUGUUUGUGUCACGGUCCGAGCUGAGAAAUGGUCUGUUGCAUUUGAGAAACAUCAAAUGGCAAACGAAAUGAAAGCGAAACUAAACUGCGCUGUUUCAGCUGCGCAGCUUUUUGAUGUUUCUCAAAUGCAACACAAAUGGCAGCGCUUAUGAGUUGGAUACCUCGGUGGUUGCACCAGUGCGACUACUCACAAAAAUUAGUCGCAUCGGCAGAAAAAAUGGUCGCAAAAUGCCCUGAUAUGUGUGUGUUCUAUGUAUAUUUAUUAUGUAUAUAUAAAUACACACACAUACAGUAUAUACGAUUAAUCGCGAUUUGACAGCACUAAUAAAUAUAUAUUUAAUUUUGGUUUACCUUAGAUUUAUUCUGUGGGCCUAACACCGUGUCUUGUGAUGAAUUCUGUGGUUCCUGAUUCUGAUUUCUGUGAAGUUAAAGUAUGUAUUGACAUUUCAAUUAAAAUUACAUAAGAAAUCUGGUUUAAAAAAACAAGAAACAUUUAUGAAAAUACAUAAAAACAUUUGCUUACUUUUUUGUUUUAGGAAAUGAGACAUGCUGUUUGCCUUCACUGGUUUCUGCUUCCUCACUUUUAUUUUGUUUCUCAGAUGCUGUAUUCUUCUGGCCUGUACAAGCAGACUGCGGCUUCUGACUGUGUUCAACCUUCACUGAAGAAUCGCCACUGGAAUCGUGAUUCUUCUAAAUAAACAAACAUAAAUGCUCAUCAAAUACAGUGACUCCAUGUUUGGGAUUUCCAGUACCAAUCCAACAUAUUGGUCCAGUUAACCAAUCAACUAUGGCCUAUCUGAGAUUGUUAUGUGUUAGCUAAUAAAACAUGUCUGCCUGCCCUGCCCUAAGCUUUAGCUCUGUCUAAUUCCAGCUCUCAAAUUUAGAGAGUAGGUAAAAUUUAUUAUUUGUUUCACUUUAUUUAACAAUAAAUUUAUCAUUUCUACAUAAAUAUAUAUUUAAUUUUUGUUCACCUUAGGUUUAUUCUGUGGGCCAAACACCAUGUCCUGUGUUGAAUUCUGCGGUUUCUGAUUUUGAUUUCUGUAAAGUUCAAGUAUGUUUUGACAUUUGAAUUAAAAUGACAUGAGAAACCUAGUUUAAAAAACAAGAAGCAUUUAUCAAAAUACGUAAAAAGAUUUGCAUACUUUUUCGUUGUAGGAAAUGAGACAUGCUGUUUGCCUUCACCGGCUUCUGCUUCCUCACUUUUAUUUUGUUUCUCAGAUGCUGUAUUCUUCUGGCCUGUACAAGCAGACUGCGGCUUCUGACUGUGUUCAACCUUCACUGAAGAAUCGCCACUGGAAUCGUGAUUCUUCUAAAUGAACAUAAACAUAAAUGCCCAUCAAAUACAGUAACUCCAUGUUUGGGAUUUCCAGUACCAAUCCAACAUAUUGGUCCAGUUAACCAAUCAACUAUGGCCUAUCUGAGAUUGUUAUGUGUUAGCUAAUAAAACAUGUCUGCCUGCCCUGCCCUAAGCUUUAGCUCGGUCUAAUUCCAGCUCCCAAAUUUAGAGAUUAGGUAAAAUGUUUUAUUUGUUUCACUUUAUUAACAAUAAUUUUAUCAUUUCUAUAUAAAUAUAUAUUUAAUUUUUGUUCACCUUAGGUUUAUUCUGUGGGCCAAACACCAUGUCCUGUGUUGAAUUCUGCGGUUUCUGAUUUUGAUUUCUGUAAAGUUAAAGUAUGUUUUGACAUUUCAAUUAAAAUGACAUGAGAAACCUAGUUUAAAAAACAAGAAGCAUUUAUCAAAAUACGUAAAAAGAUUUGCAUACUUUUUCGUUGUAGGAAAUGAGACAUGCUGUUUGCCUUCACUGGUUUCUGCUUCCUCACUUUUAUUUUGUUUUUCAGAUGCUGUAUUCUUCUGGCCGGUACAUGCAGACUGCAGCUUCUGACUCUGCUCAACCUUCACUGGUAAAUCUCCACUGGAGCUGUGGUUGUUCAGUGCUCCCACAACAUGAUCAUCGGUCUCUCUUUGAUUUCCUGUGCUGCUCUUUAUGUUUGCAUUCCGGUCCAUAUCACCAUCUCGAUCUAGAGUAGUUUGUUUUCUUUUAGACACACUCUUUUGUCCUUUAUUUUCAGAUUUUUCUUUAUCUUCUUCAUCUUUCUGAUUUACUUCCAUGGUCACUGCUGGAGAAGCUUUGUCAGUGCUAAUGCUGAUCAGCUCUUGGGUCAACUGCAACUUAGAUGUUUCUGUCGUUUCAGGUGCUACACAUCUCUCUUUGCUACUAUUAGGCUGCUCAUCAGACUGACUUAAAGCAGCAUCUAUGGGUAAAGCCGAGACAGCAUGCUGUUUUAGCUCAGCAGUUUCAGUUUCUGGUAGGCUCAGAUGAGAGGAUGAUUCAGCCGGUUUAGGCAUGUCAUCUACAGUGCAGUAAGAGCCAUCACUGUCAGAAGAUUGGUCUUCCUCCAUUUUCUUUUCUUUUUCAGUCAGCGAUAUAUCAGAGAGAUCUGAGGUCAGAGAUGAAGGGCCCUCUGCACCACCUGCUUUUUUCUUCUUCUUUCUUUUCUGUAUAAGCACGAUGAGAAAAAAAAUUUGCAUUAUAAAUUACAACAGAAUUUCAAAAUAAGUAUUACACAUAAAAAUAUAUAUAUAAUUUUUUUAUGUGAAAUAUAUAUAUAUAUAUAUAUAUAUAUAUAUAUAUAUA